AUGGUGGCUCCUGCACAUCCGAGAUGGAUCCCUCCUCCUGGAGGAAUUGCUAAAAUCCGGGUCGAUGGGGCUGUCUCCAGAGAUGGCAAUUUUGGCUCAUUCAGUGCCCUGUGCAGAAAUUCAUCAGGAAGUUUUUUGGGUGCUUCGGUCAUCAAGGUUCAUGGAGUAACGGAUCCGGCGACGCUGGAAGCGCUGACAUGCCGCGAGGCGCUUGCGCUGGCAGCUGACCUGGGCCUUGCUCGCAUCCUCCUCGCGAGUGACAGCCCAGGGAUAGUGAAGGACAUCAAGAAUUGCACCGGGGGAGCCUACGCCAGCACAACCAGGGAGAUCGUGGAAACAUCAACUAGUUUUGAUAGUUGUACCUUCAUCUUUGAAGGUAGAGCCACUAAUAUUGAGGCACAUAGCCUCGCUAAACAUGCUUUUGGUUUGGAUUAUGGGCGCCAUGUGUGGCUUUUACACCCUUCAAACAUCUCUUGUAUCCCAUGA
rnacentral:rRNA from 1 species